GGUGGCGGCCGCAGUGGGGUGGAGGGGGCAGGGCGUGGUGAGGUAAGGUGAGUGCCGUAGUGGGGUUCCCUGGAGCCAUGGCCUGCUCCAUUGUCCAGUUCUGCUACUUCCAGGAUCUCCAGGCCGCCCGGGACUUCCUCUUUCCUCACCUGCGGGAGGAGAUCCUCAGCGGCGCCUUGCGGAGGGACCCCAGUAAAUCAACAGACUGGGAAGAUGAUGGUUGGGGAGCAUGGGAAGAAAAUGAACCACAAGAACCUGGAAUGUGUAACCAGUGCUCUAUGUAUCCCACUAGCAAGCCAAAAGAGAAUGGUGUGCUCUUGCUUGCACAGCUUUUGAAUGAGGACCCAGUACUUCAACUUAAAUGCAGAACCUAUGAAAUACCACGACAUCCCGGCGUGACUGAGCAGAAUGAAGAGUUGAGUAUCUUAUAUCCAGCUGCCAUUGUGACUAUUGAUGGAUUUAGCCUUUUUCAAUCUCUUCGUGCUUGUCGAAAUCAGGUAGCAAAAGCUGCAGCAUCAGGCAAUGAGAACAUACAACCACCACCAUUAGCUUAUAAGAAAUGGGGUCUACAAGAUAUUGACACUAUUAUUGAUCAUGCUAGUGUUGGUAUUAUGACUCUGUCCCCCUUUGAUCAAAUGAAGACUGCCUCCAAUAUAGGUGGAUUUAAUGCAGCAAUUAAAAAUAGUCCACCUGCCAUGUCUCAGUAUAUCACUGUAGGGUCCAAUCCAUUUACUGGCUUCUUCUAUGCUUUAGAGGUAUGAGUUUUAUCAAUGAUCAUGAGUAAGGCUGCUCUUGAUUUUACAAUUUGUCUACAAAUUGGA
rnacentral:sRNA from 1 species